GGGGGUCCCCCUAAAAAUGAGGGGGGCUCUUAAAGGGCCACGGGGGAUUUAUUUUGGGGGGUCCCCAAAAAUGGGAGGGGGGGGGAUUUAAAGGGACAUUGCAGAGUUUUUGGGGGGUCCCCUAAAAAUGAGGGGGCUCUUAAAGGGCCACGGGGGAUUUAUUUUGGGGGGGUCCCCAAAAAUGGGGGGGGGUUAAGGAUAUGGGGGAUUUAUAUGGGGGGGGGGGUCAAUAGAAUGGGGGGGGUCUCAAAGGGCCAUAUGGGAUCGGGUUUAUAGGGUUACGGGAUUGGGAUUAUGGCGUUAUGGGAUUAUGGGGUGGAUUAUGGGAUUAUGGGGUGGAUUAUAGGAUUAUAGGGUGGAUUAUGGGAUUAUGGGGUGGGAUUAUGGGAUUAUGGGGUCGGAUUGGGAUUAUGGGAUUACAGGGUGGGAUUGUGGUAUUAUGGGAUGGCAUUUCCUCUACGAGCUCCAGAUUUGAGUCCAUUUUUGUGGCCCUGAGGCGAUUUCUGCUGUGCCCGAAAGGGGGGGGAAACGAACCACGGUGGUCG
ensembl:lncRNA